rnacentral:snoRNA from 1 species
AAAAGUAUACUUUCAGGGAUCAUUUCUAUAGUUUGUAACUAGAGAAGUGUGGUUGAAAGUGUCUCUCCUCAUGGCUCUUGCGCAAACUGCUUUUGUGAAAGGGUAGU